UUCUUUUCUUUCUCUUUCUUCUUCUCUCUUAUUCUCUCUUCUGUUCUUCUCCUGCGAUUUGUUUAAGAAUGGAAAUUCACGAUUUUGUGUUUGAAUCAAGAGAAGUCAAAUCAAGGAAGGAUAUCUGGUGGUGAAGAUAGUCACGUAGUUAGUUUAGGCUCAGAAGAAAAAGGGGAUUACAAAGAAUCGGUAUUAGGUUUUCUUUGAGAUGGAAUUGAAGAAGGAUUUAUAUGAAUUUCAGUAUGAAAUUGAAGAAUAAUGGAUGGGUUUGUUUCUCUGAAGACUUUAAAUAGAAAUCAAUUGUUCAAUUUAAGUUUGAUAAAGAUCUGGGAAGAAUUAGGGUUUGCUAGAAAAGUCGGGGAGGAUGAAAUUGAGAGUUUAGAUAACUGAUUGGAGUUGAGUUUGACGUGAAUUAGAGUAUAUGAUGAAGUGUAAUUCGAUAUUGAAGAAGUUAGGGUUUGCUGGGAUUAUUCAGUUGGUUUCAGAGGAAGAAGUUAUAGUUGAUGCUGAGACUGAUUGAGGUAUGGAAGGCGAAGAAAGGUAAAUUGAGUUAGUUUUUCUUCAUUUUGAUUGAUUGUGAAAUUGAUUAUGAAGUUAAGAAAUUAAAGAUUCAGUUUUGCUGUACUUGGGUGAUGUGAAUUGUUACAUGUGAUGAUGAGAUUGUUUGUGUUGGUGGAUAUGUAUAAUAUGAAAUGUUGUUGUUUGGGUUGCCGCUACAGUCUAGAGAUGGUGGGUGGUUUGUGUAAUGAUAAUUGCAGGUGUUGUUAGUUGUGGAAGUUGAGUUGGAAUUGAAUAACUAGGAUAGGACUCUGUGUUGUUGUGUUGAGCUGAAAUAGAUAAAUGUAUUAAGUGAUGAAUGGUAAUGGUGGCAAGAACUUAAAUGAGAAUCUUGGAUUGAAUUACAGAAUUGCGGUGGAUGUUCUGGUAGUGUUAUGUUGUUGAUGGUCGAGUUAUAGUGAUGGUUGAGCUAAAUUACAGGAAAGUACAGUUAAAGAUGGCUGCAGUUGGGAAUGAAACUGAUGAUAAAUGAAUUGAACUAGGAAAGGCGAUGGUGAUGAGUCGCAGUUGAGUGGUGCAGGUCCUGUGAUUUGUGGUUAUGGAGUGAGAGAUGUAAUUUGCUGGUAGAAAUAGAACUGAAGUUGCAGGUGUGGUUGAGCCAUGUUGUGUGAGAUUGCAGAUGGAUGGGUUGUGUUGGUUGAGUAGACUGUAUUGCAAUUACAUAUGGAACUGAAGUUGCAGUCUAGUGAAGGGAGCUGAAAUGUGUACGCAGUAUUGCUGGUGGUUUUGAAAGUGAAGUGUUGUUAUGGUUGAGGCCUUAGUGAAAGCCUGCAUUUGCAGAACUGAUGUAGAUGUGGUGUUGUAGUUUAUAAAUUGUGUAGAUGAAGCUUGAAGUGAUUAAGCUGACAUUGAUGUUGUAGUUAAUCUGAAACUGGUGAUGAUUCAGUUUAGUGGAGUGUGUUGCUAAAAGCUGCAAUUGCAGUUAGUAUAUUAACAACGAUCGAUUCAAAGGAUGAACCAGUGGAUCGCGGAUCUCGAGGUAGGCGUGACUUGUCAUCAAAAGAGUUUUCAGAGACAGAUCAGAGUUGCGCAGCGAAAGCCACAAGUGUUGACUCCGUUAAUUAGUUAACUUCUGCUAUGUUAACUAUGUUGUCUAUUGUAUCUGUAAGCCAAUUGACUAUUGUAUAUGUAUCAUUUGAGAGAAGUUCAUGUAUAUAUAUUCUGAGCGGGGUUAGUUUUGGGAUAAGUUUUGUAGCAGAUUUCUUAAUUGAAUGUUUAAAUAUUUAAAUUA